rnacentral:rRNA from 1 species
ACACGACUACAUUAGAUACCCGGGUAGUCCUAGCCGUAAACGAUACUCGCUAGGUGUCGGCCACGGUGCGACCGUUGUCGGUGCCGUAGGGAAGCCGUGAAGCGAGCCACCUGGGAAGUACGGCCGCAAGGCUGAAACUUAAAGGAAUUGGCGGGGAGCACCACAACGGGUGGAGCUCGCGGUUUAAUUGGAUUCAACGCCGGAAAUCUUACCGGGACCGACAGCAACAUGAAGGCCAGGCUGAAGACUUUGCCGGAUUAGCUG